CCUGGCUCCCAGAAAACGGAUGGUGGCACCGUUUUUCUGGGGCCUGGCUUGGCCAAGCCGCUCGCCCGCGACGUCCGCCAUGAAAGACGAACCAGACCGCCCGCCGGAGCUCGAUUCGGUUCCAUAUGCGCUCGAUUCGGCCUGUUUCUUCACCGUAUGCGCUCGAUUCGGCCGGCGCCCUUCCGCUCGCCGCCGCCGCACGGCGAGAUCCAGUGCCGCCGCCGACGCUACUGGCAAGAAGGUGCCGCCGCCGUCCUCCCUCGGCGACCUACCAGACAUCAGCCGCAGCAAGCCCGCGCCGCCGGAGCUCGCGGGACGACGCGUCGUGAAGGACAACCCGUUCCUGAUGCGCGACCGCGAGAGCAAGGGCGACGGCACCGUGGCGCCGCGGUGGUAGCGGCGGGACCCGUUCGAGGGAUGCCCCGAGCGGCGGCCUCCGGGCGCGACGGGCGGCGGCGUGGUGCUGUACACGACGACGCUCCGUGACGAGGGCAGGAUGACGAAGCCGCAGCGGAGUGCUUCGACCACGAGGGAGGCUGCAGCCGUGCCAGACGACGUCGACGAAGAAGCUCACCAUUUGUUCGAUAAAAUGCUUCAAAGACAGUAAGGCAAAGCUGAGCAAGCAACCAAACAAACUCUUAUAGAAACCAGAGCAAGCAACCAAACAAACUCUUAUAGAAACCAGGCCAGCUGAGCAAACCAACCAAACAAACCCUGUUGACUUGCUGGGGACAAGUCUAGCCUAGCCUCGCUCCAAUUAAGCCAAGAAACCAAACAGACCCUGAGUGUUAUUAGUAGAUUUCUCUCUCUCUGCAUCUCGUGUGUCCUUAUCUUUGCAAAUAAUUCGAUAAAUGAAGGGGUUCAUCUGGAAAAUUCUUGGGUCCUUCCAUUCCAAAGAUUAUAAAGCUCUCCACCGUACGCCAAGAUGUUCAGUUUGGUCCUCAUAUGAGGUAGAUAAACAUGUUGCAACAACUAAAGAAGUCAUGUGUUGUAUCACCACGUGAAUGACGAUUGUCAUGCCAUGAAAAAAGCAGGAUAGAUUAGGGCUUUAAAUUCAGGUUCACAUGCAAAGCGCACAAAAUCCGAAUUAAUUAAUGAGCCUAAUACUACUCUCUAUAUAUGAAAAAUACUUUGUGCUCCUGUUC
rnacentral:lncRNA from 1 species